rnacentral:rRNA from 1 species
GGGGAAUCUUCCGCAAUGGGCGCAAGCCUGACGGAGCAACGCCGCGUGAGGGAGGAAGGCCUGUGGGUUGUAAACCUCUUUUCUCAAGGAAGAAGUUCUGACGGUACUUUAAGAAUAAGCAUCGGCUAACUCCGUGCCAGCAGCCGCGGUAAUACGGAGGAUGCAAGCGUUAUCCGGAAUCAUUGGGCGUAAAGCGUCCGCAGGUGGCUCAUCAAGUCUGCUGUUAAAGACAGAAGCUUAACUUCUGAACAGCAGUGGAAACUGGUGAGCUAGAGUAUGGUAGGGGUUGAGGGAAUUCCCAGUGUAGCGGUGAAAUGCGUAGAUAUUGGGAAGAACACCAGUGGCGAAGGCGCUCAACUGGGCCAUAACUGACACUCAGGGACGAAAGCUAGGGUAGCGAAAGGGAUUAGAUACCCCAGUAGUC